AAUGAGUCUUUACCCAAAAGACGUUUAGAUCAUGCUUCUGGGCGUCGCCCAAGGAUGGGGCUGCGACCGAUCAGGUAGUUUGGUGAGGCAAUGGCUCACCAAGCCUUUAACCGGUGCGGGCCGUGGGAGCGGGAGCCCGGAGAUGGGCACUGAGACAAGGGCCCAGGCCCUACGGGGCGCAGCAGUCGCGAAAACUUUGCAAUAAGCGAAAGCUUGACAGGGCUAUCCCGAGUGCCAUCCGCUGAGGAAGGCUUUUACCCAGUCUAGUAAGCUGGGGGAAUAAGGAGAGGGCAAGUCUGGUGUCAGCCGCCGCAGUAAUACCAGCUCUCCGAGUGGUGUGGAUGUUUAUUGGGCCUAAAGCAUCCGUAGCUGGCUGAGUUAGUCCCCUGUUAAAUCCACCGAAUCAAUCGUUGGAUUGCGGGGGAUACUGCUCGGCUAGGGGACGGGAGAGGCAGACGGUAUUUCCGGGGUAAGGGUGAAAUCUUAUAAUCCCGGGAAGACCACCAGUGGCGAAGGCUGUCUGCUAGAACGCGCCCGACGGUGAGGGAUGAAAGCUGGGGUAGCGAACCGGAUUAGAUACCCGGGUAGUCCCAGCCGUAAACGAUGCAGGCUAGGUGUUUGGGCGGCCACG
rnacentral:rRNA from 1 species